AAUAAGUUUGAUUCUUGCUUAUUUGUUAGUUUAUUAAAUGAUUUAUAUGUUAUUUUAUUAAUAUUGUUUAAUUAACAGUAAAUGAAAUUGUUUUUAUUAAGAUUUUUAUUAUUCUUCAGUAAUUUAAUUAUAAUAGAUUAAUUUUGUGCCAGCAGUCGCGGUUAUACAAUUUAUUAAAAUUAAUAUUUUAUUGUUAUAAUUAUUUUAUUAUUUUUGAUUAUUAAUUGUUGUUAUUUAGGUGGAAUUUAUAGUUUUUUUUAUAAUCUUUUAUUAAUGUUUACUAAAUUGUAUUUAUAAACUAGGAUUAGAUACCCUAUUAUUUAUUUAAUUUAAAUUUUUAAUGAAUAUUAAUAGGUAUGUUCUAUAAAACUCAAAGAAUUUGGCGGUAAUUUAUAUCUUUUUAGAGGAACCUGUGUUUUAAUUGAUAUACCACGAUAGUUUAUACCUUAAUUUUUAUUUGUAUAUCUCUAUAAUUAAGAGUGUUAUUUAAGUAUAUUUUCUUUGAUUUUAUUAAUUUAUGUUAGGUCAAGGUGCAGUUUUAUUAUGGUAAAUAUGGGUUACUUUAAUAUUAAAUUUGUUUUGAUUUUAUUUCUAUAUUUAUGAUUUUAAUUUGAUUAGGAUUUAAUAGUAAUUUUAUUAUAAUUAUUUAUUUUGAACUUAGUUUUAAUUUAUGUACAUAUCGCCCGUCACUCUCUUUAGUAUGGGAUAAGUCGUAACAAAGUAGGUGUACCGGAAGGUGUAGCUAGAAAGUU
rnacentral:ncRNA from 1 species